rnacentral:ncRNA from 2 species
AGUUAAAUGUGGCCUUAAGGACUAACCGAUCGCUCUGGUGUUUGCUCUUUCGGCGGAAGUGAUAGAGUAAGGGGAACAUUAAACAUGAGGUUCUUUUGGCGGGGGUGAGGGGUGUCGCGCACGCGACUCUAGUGGCCCUGACUGAAGCCAAGGACAGCAGCCUGUUCCCCGGGAGGGAAGAGUUGUCGAUCCGUUGGGGAAACGCCCUCCCGGGCUGGGCUCUCCGGGAAGGUGAAAGAACUUGUCCUGGACAACAGUCGGUCGAAUGAAGGCAAACUCGAAGGCCUCACAGAUGAAUUUGAAGAACUGGAAUUCUUAAGUACAAUCAACGUAGGCCUCACCUCAAUCGCAAACUUACCAAAGUUAAACAAACUUAAGAAGCUUGAACUAAGCGAUAACAGAGUCUCAGGGGGCCUGGAAGUAUUGGCAGAAAAGUGUCCGAACCUCACGCAUCUAAAUUUAAGUGGCAACAAAAUUAAAGACCUCAGCACAAUAGAGCCACUG